rnacentral:rRNA from 1 species
AUGAACGCUGGCGGCGUGCCUAAUACAUGCAAGUCGAGCGAACAGACGAGGAGCUUGCUCCUCUGACGUUAGCGGCGGACGGGUGAGUAACACGUGGAUAACCUACCUAUAAGACUGGGAUAACUUCGGGAAACCGGAGCUAAUACCGGAUAAUAUAUUGAACCGCAUGGUUCAAUAGUGAAAGACGGUUUUGCUGUCACUUAUAGAUGGAUCCGCGCCGCAUUAGCUAGUUGGUAAGGUAACGGCUUACCAAGGCAACGAUGCGUAGCCGACCUGAGAGGACGAUGAGCGACACUGGGAGUGAGACACGGCACAGACGCCUACGGGAGGCAGCAGUGGGGAAUGUUGGAGAAAGGGCGAAAGCCUGAUCAAGCAAUGGCGCGUGAGUGAAAAAGGCGGUCGGGUUGUAAAGCACUGUUGUCAGGAAAGAAAUGGCUAUAGUUAAUACCUGGGGUGGAUGACGGGACCGGAAGAAUAAGAACCGGCUAACUACGUG